GAGGAAACGGCGGUUUUUAUAAUUCGAGUGAGUCUCACAAAAAAAAAAAAAAAAAAAAAAAAAAAACAAUGAUCGUUAGCGUAUCAAACGCGAAACCGGACGAUUUGUGCGAAAUCGCAUUCGUAUAGCUCGAGGAAAAACUAAUAAAAAUAAACGAAUUAUAUUAUCGCCGUGUUCAGGCGUUCAUUGUAAUGAAACUUUUCUGCCACGCAAAAAGGAAAAGUCACCGGACGCCACGCCGGUCAAUGGCACACCUUAUAAUACACUGUUAUUCGUAGUGCUUCAAAAAGAAAAAAAAAUAAUAACAAAAAAAAAAAAACCGUUAUACUACGAGGUCGUAUCAAAAGCGAGACCAUGCGAAAUUGUAAUAAUUUAUUCGCAGGUAAAGGUCCUCGACGUUGAUAGUAUGCGGAAGGUAAGUGCAGUGUAAUAUUAUAACAACUACACCUGCAAAGGCGGUCGAAAAUGUUUAGCUAAAUUGGAUCGAGGUAAGUUAAAUGAACCGAACAAUGACAAAUAAAUCUUCGGUUAAAAGUUACCUG